UUGAAGCAUCAAUUUUUCUAUGUUCGUUUAGUUUAUUUGUUUGAUUUUCUCUUUAGAAGGUUGCUAUGCUCAAUAUAUGUUGAUGUAAUCUAUUUAAAAUUUCUUAGCGGUUUUUUGAAUGAUGAAUUUGUUUUCUAAAACGGAGUAAGCUUUGGCCCGAAGAUGAAGAGAGCUUCUGAGACUUGUAUGAGCUGGUACUUAAUGCAAAAUGCUGAAGGUUAGAUUUGUUCAAUGGGGAGUGGCAUUGUUAAUGGGCCUGUAGACUUAUUUUUCAUGUCAGUAGUGAAGCAGAAGCAGAACAAUCUUUCAUCAACUAGAACCUUGUGAUAUCUUUCAUCGACUAGAACCUAUCUCUUGCACCUUCUUACAGACUUGAUAUGGUCAUCCGUGAUAGGUUUGGACGUUGGUGCUAGAGAGAAGCAAGGAAAUCCUAAAGUUGAUGAUGGAUUCAAGGUUCCAAAAGAAAAAAUCACCUGCAUUACGGCAUCUGUUGAUGUGGAUGAGGAGUUUGAAUCUUCUGGAGUUGAAGAAACUAGGAGUACUGUUACAAAUGGCAGCCGAAGCCACACUAACAGACGCUAUCGUGAUAAGACAACUAAUUUAAAAACUAAUUCUGAUAUUGAAGGUGUUGUAGAGGAUUCAAUCUCUUCAAGCUGGAAAAGCCAAGGCUUAGCACUUCUUCAAGUGGGAGUGUUAUUUAAUUUUCCAUUCCAUGGUCGUUUAUCUUAGUCGGAACUUGAAUUUGGUGUUAUUGAAAUAGGGUUUUGUAGCUACCUUAUGUACUAGCUUCUUUAACUAUGAUUGUUAAUUAUUACGUGUUUUGUAAGUUCUUUUA